UACGUGAGUGGCAAGCGUUAUCCGGAAUUACUGGGCGUAAAGGGCGUGUAGGUGGUAAAGUAAGUCAAAGGUAAAAACACUAAGCUUAACUUAGAUGGAGCCGAUGAAACUGCUAUACUAGAGUAUAGGAUAGGAAGAGAUGGAAUUAUUACUGUAGCGGUGGAAUGCGUAGAUAGUAAUAGGAAGGCCAACGACGAAGGUAAUCUUCUGGACUAAUACUGACACUGAGGCGCGAAAGCUAGGGGAGCAAAGCAGGAUUGAGAAACCCCAG
rnacentral:rRNA from 1 species